GCCCCGCCGCCGCCGGUGUCCCCGGUGCCCUGGAGCCGGCGGUGGGAUGGCAACAGGUCGCGGUGCUCCCGGUGACCCUCCGAAUCCAACAAAGAUGAGGCUAAAAGAGAAGAAAUCCACACCCAGGUGCAACCUUGAGCUGCCUGACUUCCACUAAAACACAGUGAGCAUUCCUGCUGCUAGAGUGCCACAGGAAAUCAAGCUGUCCCACAAAAGGCAGGGAGUGCGCCCUGGGGAAGGGAUGAAGGAACAUCAUGGUGCACAGGAUCUACACCGUGUCCUCCACAAGCAGCUGCCACCACAAGAAAGAAGAAUCCAGGUCCUAAAAAGGGACAGGGCAGUGAAGAGCAGGACAGGGAAGGGCACGCUGCGGCCUCUGAGUGUCCCCACACGCAGGCAAGGCCACCCCGCAGCAGGAGCCAUCUGCUCCACCUCUGCCACCUCAGCACCUUCUGAGAUCAAUAAAAUCCUCUCGGGUUUUUUAAUCAAGCCAAGCAAACUGCUCCCAGUUUUACACAGGCAGUGGCUGAUCAAUAGCUGGGUGAAGCAGCACAUCCAGCUAAUCAAAGUACGUCAUUAGCAGCAAGAGACUGAGCGUCUGUCAGGAGGUGGCAGUGACAGUCACCAGAUGGGAGAGUGAGUAAACCUACACCAGGCGCUGGCAGCUUUAUAAAUAAAACUCUUGUCGAGCUCCCCGUGCCUCUCACUGAGUCCUGAGUUUCCCUGAGAAACCUGGAGAGCAGCAGAGCCUUCCCCCGCUCCUGGCUGAGCGUUGGCUGUGAGAUUUCCCUGUCACGGACAUAUUUUAUGAAAAAUCCUUUCAUUAAGAUCUUUUCUCCUGAGAAGCUUCUUCAGCUUCUCCAUGUUUUGCUGCUUUGAAAUGUGAUUUAGAGAAUUGUUUACCCAGCGUGUGAAAUUGUUUUUACUUGGUGACCAAUGACAGCCACCCCUGUCAAAGCUGUGAGCAGUCACAAGAUUUUAUUAUCAUUCCUUUCUAUUCCUUUCAAGCCUUCUGGUGAAAUCCUUUCUUCUAUUCUUUUAGUAUAGUUAUAAUAUAUCAUUUUCUUUUAGUGUGUAUCAUAAAAUAAUAAAUCAGCCUUCUGAAA